AGAGAUCAUCAAUUAUGAAUUUGACACCAAGGACCUGGUGUGCCUGGGCCUGAGCAGCAUCGUUGGCGUCUGGUACCUGCUGAGGAAGCACUGGAUUGCCAACAACCUUUUUGGCCUGGCCUUCUCCCUUAAUGGAGUAGAGCUCCUGCACCUCAACAAUGUCAGCACUGGCUGCAUCCUGCUGGGUGGACUCUUCAUCUACGAUGUCUUCUGGGUAUUUGGCACCAAUGUGAUGGUGACAGUGGCCAAGUCCUUCGAGGCACCAAUAAAAUUGGUGUUUCCCCAGGAUCUGCUGGAGAAAGGCCUCGAAGCAAACAACUUUGCCAUGCUGGGACUUGGAGAUGUCGUCAUUCCAGGGAUCUUCAUUGCCUUGCUGCUGCGCUUUGACAUCAGCUUGAAGAAGAAUACCCACACCUACUUCUACACCAGCUUUGCAGCCUACAUCUUUGGCCUGGGCCUUACCAUCUUCAUCAUGCACAUCUUCAAGCAUGCUCAGGUGGGGAAACUGGAGUUCAGGUGCCACACUGCAAGUAUGUGGUAAAGCCAGGAUUCAAACCUGGGUCAGCAUGGAGACCACACCCAGGUUCUCAAGCCCCGGCCAUGGGAAAGGCAGCAUGGAACAGGGGCUAAGGGAGCCCUGUUGUGAAUCCCAGCACCACCCAGUAACCAUGGAACUCUGGGCUUGCUGCUUCUGUCCCCUUUCCCCUUCCCCAGGGCCCAAAUACAGAUGAGCCAUCUUUGAAUUAAUCACAAAA
rnacentral:sRNA from 1 species